GCUUUGAGCUGUGAGAAAGCAAAGCAUUUACAUGAAAACUCGCCGUGGGCAAAAGGUUAGAUUCUCAAUUACUUGUUAAAUAAUGGUCACUACUUUAUGAACAAAGCAUAAAGGAGAGCGAGCUUUACGAUCGUGGGAUUAAUUGGCGAUGAAGCAACUUGAAUCUGAUCCAUUGGACUUUGAAUCUGAUCCGUUGGACUUUGAAUCUGAUCCAUUGGUAUAUAAGACAGCUUUUGAAUCCAACGGGCUAUGUACGGAAAAGGAACGUUGUUUUGAAGCAUUGAUCCUUUGUUCCAUUAUCACGCCAAGGUAAGCUAUCCGAUUGAGUUCACUUAUUUCUGCAUUUCCUUAAUUUUCCGAACUAUUUACAACUGUCGAUCGAUUCCAAUCAAAGACAAAACACUAUUCG